rnacentral:rRNA from 1 species
CCUACGGGGGGCUGCAGUGGGGAAUAUUGGACAAUGGGGGCAACCCUGAUCCAGCCAUGCCGCGUGUGUGAAGAAGGCCCUCGGGUUGUAAAGCACUUUCAGUGAGGAAGAACGCCUGGUGGUUAAUACCCAUCAGGAAAGACAUCACUCACAGAAGAAGCACCGGCUAACUCCGUGCCAGCAGCCGCGGUAAUACGGAGGGUGCGAGCGUUAAGCGGAAUUACUGGGCGUAAAGCGCGCGUAGGUGGCUUGAUAAGCCGGUUGUGAAAGCCCCGGGCUCAACCUGGGAACGGCAUCCGGAACUGUCAAGCUAGAGUGCAGGAGAGGAAGGUAGAAUUCCCGGUGUAGCGGUGAAAUGCGUAGAGAUCGGGAGGAAUACCAGUGGCGAAGGCGGCCUUCUGGACUGACACUGACACUGAGGUGCGAAAGCGUGGGUAGCAAACAGGAUUAGAUACCCUUGUAGUC